UGUCAACGAGUCAGACCUUCUGGCCCGAGAGGGUUGGGCAAACUGGUCAAUCACCGUCGUGACAGGGAUCGGGGCUUGGAAUUGUUCCCCGUGAACGAGGAAUUCCUAGUAAGUGCAAGUCAUAAGCUUGCGCUGAUUACGUCCCUGCCCUUUGUACACACCGCCCGUCGCUACUACCGGUUGAAUGGUUUAGUAAGGUCCUUGGAUUGGCGUCGUUGCGGCGGUGACCGAAAGGCGCUGCCCGAGAGGCGCUGAGAAGACGACCAAACUUGAUCAUUUAGAGGAAGUAAAAGU
rnacentral:rRNA from 1 species